GAUGAACGCUAGCGGCAGGCUUAAUACAUGCAAGUCGUGGGGCAGCAUGAGUAGCAAUACUUGAUGGCGACCGGCAAACGGGUGAGGAACACGUACACAACCUUCCUUCAAGCGGGGAAUAGCCCAGAGAAAUUUGGAUUAAUACCCCAUAAUAUAUUUGAUAAGGCAUCUUAUUAAUAUUAAAGCUUCGGCACUUGAUGAUGGGUGUGCGGCUGAUUAGAUAGUUGGCGGGGUAACGGCCCACCAAGUCUACGAUCAGUAGCUGAUGUGAGAGCAUGAUCAGCCACACGGGCACUGAGACACGGGCCCGACUCCUACGGGAGGCAGCAGUAAGGAAUAUUGGACAAUGGACGAAAGUACUGAUCCAGCCAUGCCGCGUGAAGGAUUAAAGGUCCUCUGGAUUGUAAACUUCUUUUAUAUGGGACGAAAAAAGGGCAUUCUUGUUCACUUGACGGUACCAUAUGAAUAAGCACCGGCU
rnacentral:rRNA from 1 species